rnacentral:misc_RNA from 1 species
UUGAAUGGGACUUUUGGCUGGAUGCUGUUGUGCUGGUCCUCUGGGCAAUGUGCACACCUCUGGUCACUUGUUUCUUCUGUUCCACCUGUGCACUGCCUGUAGACAUGCCAAUGGCGUGUCUAUGAUAUUUGUUACACACACGAUGUUAUGCAAGUUGGUUGGCAUAUUACAUGUUAUAAUAAAUAUA